rnacentral:rRNA from 1 species
UAAUACGGAGGGUGCAAGCGUUAUCCGGAUUCACUGGGUUUAAAGGGUGCGUAGGCGGGCAGGUAAGUCCGUGGUGAAAUCUCCGAGCUUAACUCGGAAACUGCCAUGGAUACUAUUUGUCUUGAAUACUGUGGAGGUGAGCGGAAUAUGUCAUGUAGCGGUGAAAUGCUUAGAGAUGACAUAGAACACCAAUUGCGAAGGCAGCUCACUGCGCAGUUAUUGACGCUGAGGCACGAAAGCGUGGGGAUCAAACAGGAUUAGAUACCCUGGUAGUCCACGCCCUAAACGAUGGAUACUCGACAUACGUGAUAUGACAAUGUGUGUCUGAGCGAAAGCAUUAAGUAUCCCACCUGGGAAGUACGACCGCAAGGUUG